CAAAAACCUUGCCCCAUAUGUUGAUUUACCACAAUGAAUGGCUUCUGAUGUAUAGCAUGUGAUGUAUAAAAGAUGCAAAAAAUGUGAGUUGUUUAGAUCUUAGUUAGAUUACAGCUGCAAUUCCUCCUGCAAUGACAAGUCUUACAAUGAUUCCUAAAAUAAAUCUGAAAAAUGAUACUUUAUAAAAAUGUAUCAAUCAUCAGAAACCAUACUUCUGAACACCAACCCUAAAAUGUAUCUUGGUAUUUUGUGUUUUUAUGUACUGUAUAGGGUUCCUCAGAACUGUUUCACAAAGCUUCGACUUCUGGCCUAUGAUCCGGAUGGGGACCAUGUGCGAUGCCUUUUUGCAUCAACAAGUGUUGAUUCAAAGGUUACUCUGGAUGAGAAUGAGUGCACAAUCAAAGCUACAGGCCUGCUAGAUGUUGGGCUCCAUGUGUUUGAGCUGGUGCUUGAGGACCACCCCAAAAGAGAUGUCAAUCUGACUUAUGACGAUGGAUCCUCCUCUGAAAAAAAAAGCGUUCAACAUUCACCCUGGUAUCCACUCAACCCCUUUCAGCCAAAUAUAUCUACAAUUUACGCUACAGAUCCUAUAUCCGGCACACAACUGCAUAGCCGGUCACGUGGUUCCCCAGUACCUGCUGCCGACAGCAUCCCACGGCGACGUUCGCCAGGCUUCUGUUGGGGAAAGAUUCCAGCUUCAUAUCCACGCCCAGGCCAGCGAGACCAAGAUUAUGGACUUUCAGAUCAGUGGCCCUCAGAACAUGGCCAAGAGUAUGACCACUGUUACUUUAGGGAAUGCGUCAGUCAUUCUGAACUGGACACCAGCUCUCAAUGACCUCUACCGGCUUGUACCAGUUUGCUUCACUGCUGAGACAUAUGAAAGCCAAUCAGAAAUGAGGUGUGUUAUUGUAAUGGUUACCAGAUCAUCCACCUCUGAAGGUAUGCAGAAUACUUCUGUAUGCUUGCAACACUAGUGAUUCUAGCAGCUCACUAUCAAGUUCCGAAAUGUUCUAUCCCUUUCAUUAAAUUGAAACAAAGAUAAAUCAAAUAAUUCAAGACUGCAGAAGUUGCCAUGGCCAUAAUAAGUGCAAAAGACUAAUGAUUUGUUUUGUAUGAGGCUUGUUGUGGUUGAAAGGCAGUGUGCUUGAAUUGUGCUCAUGCAGGUAAAGCUGUAGUGAAAUGCUCAGCAACACAGAUGACUGUUUCCCUGGAAAAAAUGUCCAUGGAUGGCAUCGACAAGAACUGGCUGAAUAUGAAUGACCCCUCAUGUUCUAUGAGUUCUAAUGCCACACAUAUCAUGGCCACCAUGUCAUUCAACACCUGUGGAACAAAAC